rnacentral:lncRNA from 1 species
GGGGAAGCAGGUCAAAAGGGGACCUGCAAGGAUGAGCCAGGACUCUCGAGUAUUUGAGCUGAGAUCCUACCUUCCUGUAUAACAAGAACCUUAACAUCACAGUCAGCUCUUGAUUAUCUGAGCCAGACAGACUGGUUUGAAGAGCAAGAUAUAGCAGUGACCUGGAUUCUGGAUGGUUUAGAGAAUCACCAGGAAGUCAGGAACAAAGAGUUCCUGGGCAGCUGGCACCACAGUGCAGAUCAUGACAUGGAACACAGAGGAAUGGCUGCUGCCAUCUUUGACCAUGGGAUGCCACAUCUCGAAACACCAACUCUGCUGGUCCCCAGAGCCCAGAUACAGCUACUUGUGCUUCUAUCACCGUGUCCCUGGAAACAGAUGUUGCUGCUAUUACUGGAACUGCCAUAAAAGAUUCUCUGCUGCCUGGCUUUUUUGCUCCCCAAUCUGAGCUUAUGAUAAAUGCCUCACUGUUGCUGCAAGGAGGGGGCCAAUACCCAGGACAACAGGACAGCCAAAAACAAACAAACAAACAAAUGAACAAACAGAAAAGUUCCAGACUCUGGUGAAACACAUGUUUCAGGCCCCUCAGCAAGAGUGGACAAGACAAACAUCUUUACAAGCCCCAACGACCUAAUGUAUAGACCCUUUGUGUGCUUCUGUGGAAUGUCUCCUACAUCAACCCUGGGAGAGUGGGGACCUCCAGAGAAACGGUGUGGGGAGGCCAGUGUGCAGAGAUCUCAGUCCCUGAGCAGGUAGGUUUGCUGGUGGGAGGGAACUGAGUUUAGACCUAGAAAAGGACCACUGAGUGCAAUGAGAUAGGACGGCCCAAGGGCUGUUGAUUUGAACGCCCAUGUGUUUAUAUUCUGGUGUGACUUCUGAUCUGUUAUUUCAUUUUAGGCAUGCUAUUUAAACUUUUUGAGUUUCCUUCUCUGUAAAACAAGAAAAAUAAUAUAUACCUUAUCAGCUAUAGGAAGAAUUUAAUGGGAUGAGGCAAGUUAAAAAUAGUGUGCAUAAUUCUAGCACAUUUAAAUGCUAAGAAGGUGAUUCCUACAAGAAAAGAAAAGGUAUGGCAAUUCAGGUAUGGUUCUAGCAAGUCUAGCUUCUGGGAGGACAAAUCCCUGUGGUCUGACUGCCAAAUUGUACCUCAGUUCACAAGUUUGCUAGAGCUGCAGUCAGGGUCAAGAUGGUGUCUGUGUGCAUUAGAAACAUGGUGUUCAGGACGCAGGAAGUGGAAUCAGGCUGAGGGAAGGAAGGUGGCAGGGACCAGGUAGAUUCUAGGCACCAGUCCUAGAGGGUCCCAGGGUAGCAGGCAGCAGGACUGGCUACAUAAUUUGCCAGGCUCCCUGCAAAAUGAAAAUGUGGGGCCUCUUACUGAAAAAUAAGAAUUUCAAGACAGCAAUAGCAGAGCAUUAAACCAAGCAUGGAGCCUUUUUGAGCACAGCCCCUUCUGAACACAGGGUCUUGUGCAAUGGCAUAGAUUGCAGGUUCAUGAAACAAGUCCUUCAAGGUUUGAGACAAUGGGGAAUUCAGAAUAAAGUCCAGCCUGAGAAAGGCAGAGUCCUGCUGAGUCUCAAGGCAGUGCCGCUGAGCCCUGAUGUGCAUAGGAAUCACUCGCCCCUUUAUGUUAAUACUAUUACUGAUAACAAAUAACAACACCAGUGAUAGCAUUACCUUAGUAGCCUGUAUUUAUUGAGCACAAAUCAUGUGCUAGAAGCAAAGCUAAGUAUUUUACAAUGCAUUGUCUUUUUCUCCCUGGUUUGAAAAGAAUUAAUAAUACCAACCUAUGCCAGGUGAUUGUCAGUGAUCUUAUUAUAUAUUAACUUAUUUAAAGGCAUAUAAACGUUUUACUAUUAUUUUUCAUGCAUCAUCUUGCUUGUGCCUUCCAUCAUCCCUAUAGCUGGUACCAGCACAUUAUGCCCAUUUGACAGAUAUGGAAACUGAAAUUGAGGAAGGUUCAGUAACUUGCCUGUAUCUGUCUGGGUCCAGAGUCCACGCUCUCAAGCUCUCAAGUAGUUGGUCCUCAUUAUAAAUAAACUGAAAGGGAUUGAAUGUUGGCUAACACUAAACAAUUUACAACAUGCUUUCAU